rnacentral:rRNA from 2 species
GACAGAGGUCCCAAGCGUUAGGCGGAAUCACUGGGCUUAAAGCGUGUGUAGGCGGAUUUGUAAGUACCUUGUGAAAUCCCACGGCUCAACCGUGGAACUGCUUGGUAUACUGCUUAUCUUGGGCCAUCUAGGGGCGAGCGGAACAAACGGUGGAGCGGUGAAAUGCGUAGAUAUCGUUUGGAACGCCAAUGGUGAAAACAGCUCGCUGGGGAUGUGCCGACGCUGAGACACGAAAGCCAGGGGAGCGAACGGG